GCAUAUCAAUAAGCGGAGGAAAAGAAACUAACAAGGAUUCCCCUAGUAACGGCGAGUGAACCGGGAAGAGCUCAAAUUUGAAAUCUGGCGUCCUCAGGGCGUCCGAGUUGUAAUCUAUAGAGGCGUUUUCCGUGCCGGACCGUGUCCAAGUUCCUUGGAACAGGAUAUCAAAGAGGGUGACAAUCCCGUACUUGACACGACGACCGGUGCUCUGUGAUACGUCUUCUACGAGUCGAGUUGUUUGGGAAUGCAGCUCAAAAUGGGUGGUGAGUUCCAUCUAAAGCUAAAUAUUGGCGAGAGACCGAUAGCGAACAAGUACCGUGAGGGAAAGAUGAAAAGCACUUUGGAAAGAGAGUUAAACAGUACGUGAAAUUGUUGAAAGGGAAACGAUUGAAGUCAGUCGUGACCGAGAGGCUCAGCCGGUUCUGCCGGUGUAUUCCCCUCGGUCGGGUCAACAUCAGUUUUGUCCGGUGGAUAAGGGCGGUAGGAAGGUGGCACCCUCGGGUGUGUUAUAGCCUGCCGUCGCAUACAUCGGGUGAGACUGAGGAACGCAGCUCGCCUUUAUGGCCGGGGUUCGCCCACGUCCGAGCUUAGAUGUUGACAUAAUGGCUUUAAA
rnacentral:rRNA from 1 species